UCGCCUGUGGAGGAGCCUGCGUUCGAUUAGCUUGUUGGUGGGGUAAUGGCCUACCAGGCGAUGAUCGAUAGCUGGUCUGAGAGGAUGAUCAGCCACACUGGGACUGAGACACGGCCCAGACUCCUACGGGAGGCAGCAGUGGGGAAUAUUGGACAAUGGGGGCAACCCUGAUCCAGCAAUGCCGCGUGUGUGAAGAAGGUUUUCGGAUUGUAAAGCACUUUCGGCGGGGACGAUGAUGACGGUACCCGCAGAAGAAGCCCCGGCUAACUUCGUGCCAGCAGCCGCGGUAAUACGAAGGGGGCUAGCGUUGCUCGGAAUGACUGGGCGUAAAGGGCGUGUAGGCGGUUUGUACAGUCAGAUGUGAAAUCCCCGGGCUUAACCUGGGAGCUGCAUUUGAUACGUGCAGACUAGAGUGUGAGAGAGGGUUGUGGAAUUCCCAGUGUAGAGGUGAAAUUCGUAGAUAUUGGGAAGAACACCGGU
rnacentral:rRNA from 1 species